rnacentral:lncRNA from 1 species
AUUAUCCACUCAAAGUCCUAAUCGAAUCAUCCUUUCCGAGAGUGCUAGCUUGCACAGAAGGCACUCGAUGGCUAGAAUAAGCUUCUUCUUUUGGAUCAUCUGGACUCUUUCAGAUCAGAGGAUGGAGCUACAUGAGGAGAUGGUGGUGUGGGAGAUUGAAAUAAGAUCCUCUUGUAUUUCUUCUCACAUAAAAACUUAGAGCCG